rnacentral:rRNA from 1 species
AAGGCUGAAAUUCGCCUUCAUGAAGCCGGAAUUGCUAGUAAUGGCAGGUCAGCAUACUGCCGUGAAUACGUUCCCGGGCCUUGUACACACCGCCCGUCACACCAUGAGAGUUGGGGAUACCCGAAGCCUGUGAGCUAACUUAACGGAGGCAGCAGUCGAAGGUAGAAUCAAUGAUUGGGGUGAAGUCGUAACAAGGUAAC